AGCCUCGUGGUGAAGAACAUACCGGAUUGCAAAUCCAGAGACGUAGAUUAAUAUCUGCCGGGGCUU
rnacentral:tRNA from 1 species